AGUGAACGCUGGCGGUAGGCCUAACACAUGCAAGUCGAACGGCAGCACAGUAAGAGCUUGCUCUUACGGGUGGCGAGUGGCGGACGGGUGAGGAAUACAUCGGAAUCUACUUUUUCGUGGGGGAUAACGUAGGGAAACUUACGCUAAUACCGCAUACGACCUACGGGUGAAAGCAUGGGAUCUUCGGACCUUGCGCGAUUGAAUGAGCCGAUGUCGGAUUAGCUAGUUGGCGGGGUAAAGGCCCACCAAGGCGACGAUCCGUAGCUGGUCUGAGAGGAUGAUCAGCCACACUGGAACUGAGACACGGUCCAGACUCCUACGGGAGGCAGCAGUGGGGAAUAUUGGACAAUGGGCGCAAGCCUGAUCCAGCCAUACCGCGUGGGUGAAGAAGGCCUUCGGGUUGUAAAGCCCUUUUGUUGGGAAAGAAAAGCAGCAGGUUAAUACCCAGCUGUUCUGACGGUACCCAAAGAAUAAGCACCGGCUAACUUCGUG
rnacentral:rRNA from 1 species